ensembl:lncRNA
GAAGAAGGGAGGGAAUCUGGCAAGCCAUCUCUUUUUCCAGCAGGAACACUAUGUUCCAUCCAACACUUUUAUAGCAACAGAAAUGCAGGGUUGACAGCGAAGAUGAAUGUGCUCGUUAAAAAACAGAUCUUUUGGUUAAAUUAAAAAAAAGAAGCAGCUGUUUUUAAAAUGGUGCUGGAAUCUAUGCUGUUUUGGAGUAACCCCUGCACUUUACAUAACACAUGGAGCUGCCUGAUGUACCGUAUCAUCCUCCUUAGCUACAAUAGUCUGUAAGUGUUUGUUUUCCACUGAAUUACAGUGUUAGAUUCAUAUAUCACCGGGACAGCAAAAUAUGAACUAAGAGGGAGUCUACAAAUAUGCACUUUACUAGUUAUUUUCCCUAUCAGCAAGUUUCGAGACAGGCAACAGGACUCUGGGUGUUAUAACAGGUCUGAGUUAAAUUACCACGUUUCUGUUGUAUAAGCUUUGCUUUCAAGAUGCUUCAGCCAAUCAGAGGCUACAAUAAACAAUGGGCAAAACAAAGAGUCCAUUCAAUAACCACUAACUUUCUAAGGAGGAGAUGCUGCUGAUCUUCCUAACGUUAUAUAAAUUCUUCUCUACAUAAGCCUGAAGGCACAAUUCCUAGAGGCAGAGUAAGACUCCAGUUGGGAAAGUAGCUGAAGCACAGCGGAGAGACGUCCCAAAAAUCAGCAUUGGGAGGAACACUAUGUUUACACACAACAAAUUGAAGAUUUUCGUAAUGCUUCUGGCACUGGUCACUUACACAGCCAUGGUGGUGCUCAAUGCUGGAGCGGGAUCAGGGGCAUUCAAAGGUGUAUUCCUAAAUACUGUUGGAAACAUCUCAAACAAGUACAACACUGACUUCACACCUGCUGGCUGGGCCUUCCUCAUCUGGAAUGUCAUCUAUGUCUGGCAGUUUGCUUGGCUGGGUUAUGCACUGUCAGGAAUCUGCAGAAGGAAUGAACUCGGAUGGGUUUACACAGAGCCAGAUUUACUGCCAAUAUCCUUCUAUCUGGUGUGGAUACUGAACAACGCCAUUAAUGUUGGAUGGCUAUUCCUGUGGGACCGAGAGUAUCUCAUUCCAGCCCUGGUUCUCCUGGCAGUCCUCCCUUUUACCUGUUAUGUUGGUCUCUUCAUUUCACACCGAUCCUUGCAUAUCCAUGCCGUUUGGUUCCUAAAGUCUCACAAAGCAGAGCUGUGGCUCAUCCGAAUUCUGGUGCAAAACGGAAUUGCACUAUACGCGACCUGGACCACCAUUGCCACUCUGCUGAAUUUUGCCGUGGUGCUGAUCUUCAAUGGGAACAUAUCUAAUAAGAUUGCAACUGCGACCUCUCUGGCCAUCCUGACCUUUGAACUAGUAAUAUGGUUUUCUCUGGAAAACUUUGUGCUUGACAAGUAUGUGCGGUAUAAUCUCACUGUCUACCCAGUGGUCAUUGUAGCCCUGACCGGCAUUGUGUGGAAGAACUACUCCCUUUCAUCUCCAACUGACAACAGUGUGUUUACAGUUGUGUUGCUGGCGGUGGCUUGUGUUACUUUUGCUGUUCGGCUGGGAAUAGUCAUAUGGAGACAUUGUAAAAGGCCUCUCAACCGAUCAGAUUCUCCAGCCAUGACACUGUGAAGUAUAUUUCCAAAGUGAAGACCUUAAGGGGGAGAUUUUCAAAGCCAUGAAUGGGAAUCAGGCACCCAACAGCCACUGACUCUCUCUCCCAACACCCACUUCCCUGUUGCCUUGAAAAUCUCUGAAAUGUGGAACAGUGAACAACACAAAGAGGGUAGUAAGGUGGUUACAGUGAUUUCGAAUAAGCAUUCAGGGUCCCUCUCUUUUUCAGGAUCUCUCUCUCCUUCCACUCUGAUCGAUUACACUUACCCUACCACCUUUAAUUUGACCACUAUCUGUUUUAUUAAAUGGUGUUUUCAGUUUACACCAGAGGAGUAGAUGAACAGAUCCCUCUGACAAAGCCUAAUGCACUUCUGGAUAAAUGGACAGUAGCACUCAGGUAUGUCCAGCCUGAGGCAGGCCCGUGAACACAGUUGCCACACUUGCACUUUUGCACAGAGACGUUAUCUUUUCCGGUUUAAAAAACGGUUGUAAAUAAGCAACCCCUCUCUGGUGACUGAAAUGCAUAAACCAAUGGCUCUCUUUCUUCACUGGCCCAGACCUUGGGCCCGGUUUUUGUCAGUGCUGAGCCUCUGCAAGUCCCAUUGAAGUCAGUGGGUGCUCAGCACCUCUAAAAAUCAGGCCACUGCGCCCCUUUCUAGCUCUCCCCAACAUGGCAAGAACAAAGCCGCAGUAGUGCUAUAUUUUUAUUUUUGCAGCAUCUGUUUUAACAUUCUGCAUCCAGUGUGUUGGAGUGGUUACAAUUACUGAUUAAUUAUUGUUACUCACACCUUCUUGUCAACUGUUGGAAAUGGGCCAUCCUGAUUAUCACCACAAACGUUUUUUUUCUCCUGCUGAUAAUAGCCCACCUUAAUUGAUUAGUCUCGUUAUAGUUGGUAUGGCAACACCCAUUUUUUCAUGUUCUCUGUGUGUAUAUAUAUCUUCCUACUGUAUUUUCCACUGCAUGCAUCCGAUGAAGUGGGUUUUAGCCCACGAAAGCUUAUGCCCAAAUAAAUUUGUUAGUCUCUAAGGUGCCA